rnacentral:rRNA from 1 species
GAUGAACGCUGGCGGCGUGCCUAAUACAUGCAAGUCGAGCGAACAGACGAGGAGCUUGCUCCUCUGACGUUAGCGGCGGACGGGUGAGUAACACGUGGAUAACCUACCUAUAAGACUGGGAUAACUUCGGGAAACCGGAGCUAAUACCGGAUAAUAUAUUGAACCGCAUGGUUCAAUAGUGAAAGACGGUUUUGCUGUCACUUAUAGAUGGAUCCGCGCCGCAUUAGCUAGUUGGUAAGGUAACGGCUUACCAAGGCGACGAUGCGUAGCCGACCUGAGAGGGUGAACGCCCCACCUGGAACUGAGACACGGCCCAGACUCCUACGGGGGGCAGCAGUAGGGAAUCUUCCGAAAUGGGCGAAAGCCUGACGGAGCAACGCCGCGUGAGUGAUGAAGGUCUUCGGAUCGUAAAACGCUUUUAUUAGGGAAAAAAAAAUGUGUAAGUAACUAUGCACGUCUUGACGGUACCUAAUCAGAAAGCCCCGGCUAACUACGU